GACAGAGGGUGCAAACGUUGCUCGGAAUUACUGGGCGUAAAGCGCGUGUAGGCGGCUUCGCACGUCCGGUGUGAAAGCCCAGGGCUCAACCCUGGAAGUGCACUGGAUACGACGGAGCUGGAGUGCUGAAGAGGAGAGCGGAACUCCCGGUGUAGAGGUGAAAUUCGUAGAUAUCGGGAAGAACACCAGUGGCGAAGGCGGCUCUCUGGGCAGACACUGACGCUGAGACGCGAAAGCGUGGGGAGCAAACAGGG
rnacentral:rRNA from 1 species